GGUUGGAUGGCCGAGCGGUCUAAGGCGCCAGACUAAGGAUCAACGUCGUUCAAACGUGCAACUUGCGGAGCGGGAUUUGACCUUCCCGAUUACGUAAUCUGGUCCUCCGGGGCGUGGGUUCGAAUCCCACUCCAAUCA